AGAGAAGUGCUCUAGAUAAUUGGGUUAAGGCUCGGUUUUGGCAGAGGAAGAUAGUGCAGCAGAGCAGGGAGAACACCUACAUGAAACACAGACUGCACAUGAUGAGGAGAGACACGCCUCCUGAGGGAUCCAUGAAGCAGGAACCGAUGCCGG